GGCGUAAAGAAUACACAAGCAACGUAUACCCUUAAUGGAAGCGAAUUAGGGAUAACAACACAUGAAAAGGACUUGGGAAUUGUUAUAGACAACAAACUAUGCAACAAUGUGCAAUGUCAAUCAGCAGUGGCCAAGGCCAGUAAGGUAUUGUCAUGCAUGAAAAAGGGCAUUCAUUCUCGGGACGAGAAUAUAAUUUUGCCUCUUUAUAAAUCACUAGUAAGACCACAUAUUGAAUAUGCUGUGCAAUUUUGGGCACCUGUUCUAAAGAAGGAUAUUAUGGCACUAGAAAAAGUGCAGAGGCGGGCUACAAAAUUAAUA